AUUGAACGCUGUCGGCAGGCCUAACACAUGCAAGUCGCUCGAGCGGCGGACGGGUGAGUAAUGUCUGGGAAACUGCCUGAUGGAGGGGGAUAACUACUGGAAACGGUAGCUAAUACCGCAUACCAUCAGAUGUGCCCCGAGGGGAUUAGCUAGUAGGUGGGGUAACGGCUCACCUAGGCGACGAUCCCUAGCUGGUCUGAGAGGAGGACCAGCCAAACGGGAACUGAGACACGGUCCCGACGCCUACGGUAGGCAGCAGUGGGGAAUAUUGCACAAUGGGCGCAAGCCUGAUGCAGCCAUGCCGCGUGGGUGAAGAAGGCCUUCGGGUUGUAAAGCACUUUCAGCGGGGAGGCGUUACCCGCAGAAGAAGCACCGGCUAACUCCGUGCCAGCAGCCGCGGUAAUAC
rnacentral:rRNA from 1 species